rnacentral:rRNA from 1 species
UACGUAGGGAGCAAGCGUUGUCCGGAAUCAUUGGGCGUAAAGCGCGCGUAGGUGGCCAUGUAAGUCCGCUGUGAAAGUCAAAGGCUCAACCUUUGAAAGCCGGUGGAUACUGCAUGGCUAGAGUACGGAAGAGGCGAGUGGAAUUCCUGGUGUAGCGGUGAAAUGCGUAGAGAUCAGGAAGAACACCGGUGGCGAAAGCGCUCUGCUAGGCCGCAACUGACACUCAUGGACGAAAGCUAAGGGGAGCGAAUGGG